GCUCCGGGCGCCCCGCGGAGGGGACGGCCGUUGGGGCCGUUGGCGGGAGGGGUCACCUGAUCGCCCGCGCGUCCCCGCCGCGGCCUCGCUCUCUCCCGGCGYAGGUCCCGCGCAGCGCGGUUGAAAGCGUCACGUGGCUGCGCCCGCCGCCAGUCAUAGAGGCAGGCGCGGGAGGGUAGAGCGGCCUCGUGCUGACGAGCUCCCGCGCCGCCAUCUUGGUUGUGGGCAGGAGCUGUAAGGCGGCGCCUCGACCGUUGCUCUGGCGCCGCGCGCGUGAGGUGGCUGCGCCCGAUCCGGCCUCGUCCCGUCACCGCCGCUCCCGGGCCCUCGCCGCAGGGGGGACGGUUGUGGUGCCCCCACGGGAGAGGAACCCGGGGCCGCGGAGGGGCGCUGCCGCUCCCCGCCAGGCGUGCGGUGCGCCUCGGGCGUCUGCCGCCGCCGCCGGAGAAGGCGGAGAGGAACGGGAAGGUGGCAAAAGUUGCUGGCGGUGAGGACAGCCAGGCGGUCAGGGGCACAGAGGUGCUCUGGUGCGCCCUGAGAACUGGGAGUGAAUCAGUGAAACGCCACCGUAAAGACGAAGUGAAGUCUUGCUCCCUAGCAACCCAAGUGGCAUGUUUACUGAGUGAAAACAGGGCAUUUUGGAGCAAGGCUAUCCAGGAACUGCAGAGUUGCUGUUUCUCAGGACAGCGAGUGAGAAUGGAGUCCUGGAGCCCUCUGGUGGAUGUAUGUAGAAAGAAGACAGCUGAAAAUAGAGUGCACAGUCCUGCAUAUGUGUGCCUGGCAAAAUGUGAACUGCUAGACAUCUGCUUCUUCAGGCCCCU
rnacentral:lncRNA from 1 species